GACUGUUCACCUCUGUUCUGCCCUCAGGAGGACCCAGCCCAAGAAGGAUGCAGAGUUUCUGGAGCAGGUCCAAAAGGAGGGCCACAAAGACGAUCGGAGGACUAGAGAACGUCUCCUAGGAAGACAGGUUGGGGGAGAUGGGUUUGUUUAGCCUGGGGAAGAGAAAGCUCCAAGGAGAGCUCUUGGCAUGCUUUCACUGCCUGGAGGGAGCUUAUAAAAAGGGAUAUCCAAGCCACAAGCCAUGAAUUUCUCCAGGAAAAAGGAGCAGCCCGUAGUCGGCAGGAUUCGAACCUGCGCGGGCAGAACCCAAUGGAUUUCUAGUCCAUCGCCUUAACCACUCGGCCACGACUACUGCAUGUCAUGGGUGUGCACCGUCUGCCUCGAGGAACGCUAUGAAAUUGAGAGCAAUUUGUGGAUUGAGUGACUGGAUGACACCGUGGUCAACCUCACCUCGUGGGAGGCACCCUGGCCCAUAGCCACAGGGUUGGAGCGAGGUGGUAUCUAAGGUCAUUUCUGCUAUGAAGGAGAGCAUUGGGAUUUAGCUAACGUACUCUGCUGCAUCUGUUGAGGGUGCAAGAACUGCCUUAAUCUUUUUCACAGUUUCUCAAAGGCCCUCUGAAUGAGUCCUCCCCUCCAUGAGUCACUCCUGCAUCUUGAAUAUCUUUGGGUUAGAGAUAAUUUUUUUUUUUAAUGAAAAAUUCCACACAGCUUGCAGGUAUUGUCUUUGUGGGAUUGCUUUCAUCUGCAGCUCUGCAUUGCUGUUGUCAGCACUGCAUCUGAUAUCUAACUUCUUCCUAGAGACUGUUUGAAGUUACUCUGAGGUCUUUUUUAUCUCAUUGUCUCAAAAAAGGCUCUUAAUGAGGGGGAAGAAGAGGAGGCAUUGUCCAUAUGGCAAUCAGAAAAUGGACAGCACGAAUCUCUGAAUUUCAAGUCCAGUAUCAAUUGUGACAGGCUACUUCGUAUAUUGAGAGAAGAAAAUUCCUCAGAAAAUUCUGCGUUGUGGGCUGAAAGAGAUUUGAGAAAAACUACUGUACCACAGGAAAUACCUUUGACUCCAACAAUUCCAUCUUCAUCAUUGGAACAUUCAGCCCUCAAUGCUUCCAGUGUAGUCAAGAGAAUCCAUUCAAGACAUCAGAAUCAAGAUGAAGAAGAGACCGUAGACACUGCUUAUACUGUGAGACAAGUGCUGAACCCAAACUCAAGCAAAGAAAAGCAAAUUUCAGCAAAAAGUUUAGUACUUUCAAAAACAGCAUUCUUGCUUUGACCAAGGUCCUUACUAUCAUGGGAAAAUGUGUCUUGAAAGGGGAUCUUUGGAGGUCAUCUACUCAUGCUCCCUGCUCAGAGGAGAGCUAACUCAAAGGUUCUGGGGGGGCUCAACUACCGAGGUUUUGAGAAUUUGUAAAGGUUGACAUUCUGCAACCCUUAUGUAGUAUAUUCCAGUGACAAAGCAAAGUCCAUAGGAAGGAGGAAACCAUAAAUACAAUUCUGUGAUGCAACCCGUUUUCUUGCUGGGCGUAGAGUUCUCUCCUUUGUGGUGCUUUUCUAUUUCUUUUACAACUUUCUGUUCUAUGUUGCACAGAUAUAUUACAAAUUUUCAUCUCCUUAUUCUGCACAUCAUUUAUACCUGUUGCCAAUCCCUAUAUACAACUACUAUCAUGAAAAGAUUGUUGUAAAAGUUAGUAAAUACAAGACCUGAAAGCAGCUGAUGUUUUUCACUGGAUGAUCACUAGCAAACUGUUUCUGUGCUUCUAAUUUGAAAGAAGAAAAGCAAAAAUAGAUGUCUAAGAUAAAUGCACCAGUGAAACUUGAGUGGAAUCGACGUGGUGGCGUAAAGUGUAUUUUUGGAUUAUUGAAAAUAACUGGAAUGUCUGGGGGCACUCUUUGACGGUCCAUUACAGCUCAGUGCAGCUCCUUUGAUAUAUUUCAGUAAACAAUAUAAUUUCAUUCUUACUUGCAAAGCUUUCUAUAUAAAUUGAAAUUUCAAUGACUUUUUUUUUU